GGGACUAACUUUCUACAAGAGAUUUUGCUGUCACUUUUGGUGCUCAUGAAUAUAAAGGUUUAUAAGAUAGUUUAUUUUAAAUUGUUUAAAGAAUGAUUAGGUUAGACUUGUUGGUUACUAUCCUAUAUUCUGAGUUGGUUGGUUGACAAGCAAAUUUAAUCUAAAUAAACAAAACAAACAACAUACCCAGUGUAAUCCCACAAGUGGGGUCUGGGGAGGGUAAGAUGUACGCAAACCUUACCUCUAUCUUUGUAAUAGAGAGGCUGUUUCCGAUAGACCCUCAGCUCAAAAGAAAUGUAACUGAUGCAGAAACUUAAGAAAGGAAAAAGGGACGGCAAAAAUAGCAAAGUACAAAAAUGCAGUAACAUAUAUCAAUACACAUUAGCCAAAAAGAAACUACAUGACUACCCUAAAACAUACGACUAAAAGUAAGAUAACACUCUAUUACCUACUAACCAUCUAAUCAGGAUGCAAAUACCAUAUCUGAAGGCCAGGUCCUUUCAUGGAUGCAGUGCCUGUGAUUUGCAUCUUUGAUUUAUGUAUUUUGUACAAUUUUCUUUCUUUUCGUUACUGAUAAAAAACUGUUCAUUCUUUUUGCCAUUUUUUAACUGUUAGUGUUUCUUCUGGUUCUUUUAUGCAUUUCUAGACAUUCAUUCAGAUGAAUAUAUUGUGCUGAGUGGGCAAAAGAUGGGAUUUUCUUGGACAAGAGUUUUGUUUUAUGCUGUUUUUUUUUUU